ensembl:lncRNA
UCUUCCUGACGGAGAUGGUUACAAUAGCCUAGAGCACUCCUCUAAAGAGAUAUCCAUACUGGUAAAGAUAACUCAUAUUGGGAGAAGCCAACUGUCAUACCAUGUCAUGAAGAUACUCAUGCAGUCCUAUGGAGAAGUUCAUUAGUGAGAAACUGAGCUGGAAUAAACUUGACAGCCAUGCUUAACAAGAAAUACAACUGGAAGGCCUCAGGAAACUUACAAUCGUGGCAGAAAAUGAAAGGGAAGCAAGCACAUCUUACCAUGGGAGAGCAGGGGGAAGACAGUGAUAGGGGAGGUGCUAUGCACUUUCAAACAACCAGAUCUCGUGAGAACUUCAUCACAAGAACAGUAAGGGGAAAGUCAACCCCUAUGAUUCUAUCACCUCCCAUGAGGCCUCUCCUUUAACAUGUGGGAAUCACAAUUAAAAAUUAAACGUGAGAUUUGGUUGGUCACAGAACCAAAGCAUAUCAAUAAUUUUGCCUAAUGUAAUAAUAUUUCCUUAAAUAGAAAUGUGGAAAAUAAAGCCAUAAUAUUUUACCAGUUGUCUUUGAAGUUAAAACUAUUUUCUCAUUUUUACCACAUAGAAACUGGGUUUAACAUUUAUGUAGAACAUAUAUAAAUGUUAUAAAAACAUGUAUGUGUUAUCUAUUGUGCUUUGAAGAUGAAGAGCCUGGUAAUUUUAAAAUGUUUUAAUGGUUUCAUUUUUCAAAUUUAUUAAGACAUUAAUCGUAUUUUCAGUAGAAUAACAUAUAUGAAAAUGCUGACUUUAAGUCUGAAGUUAACUUUUUUUGACAUUAUAGAGCCCCGGUGUUCUGAGCUCUUUCCCCAAGAGCCUGGCCCAUAUAAAAGCCCAUUUUUCAAUUGCUGUCUUGAAAAAAAAUCUUAUAUCCAGAACUUUUUCUUAUCAUUGCUUCUUCAGGCUAAUCCUUAUUUGUCCAUCAUCUUUCUUUUUGUUUUAUAUUACUAAUACAGAUUAAGUAGAAAAAAUAUAAAGCAAAGUAUGCAUAAAUACAUAAACAUUCAUGUAUUAUAUAUAAUUGCCUUUCAGAACCUUAGUUACUAUGUCAAGAUUUUUAGAUUCCAGCUCAAAGUUCUUAAAUGACUUGUUUUAUAACGAAAGGGAAUGUCUGUUUUUUCACUUCUUAUAAAGUACCUUCCUAGCCUAUGAGCCUUUACCAAUCCCUAGGAUCCACUGGGAUUAACAUUUAUAAACUGCAAAUACACAAAAAGCCAAGGGCCAAGGAUUUCCAAAUAGGUAUAAAUACAUUUUCCUUACAAUGAUAAAAUGAGGUAAUACAAAUCAUCAUUAAGGAGAAGGGAGAACUCUCAUUUUCAAUGUAUACUGCAAUUAAAUUAAGUUUCGCUAAAAACCCAACUGGUCUGGGUUUAGAGUCUAAAAGGUAUAAGAAAGUAGAUUUCUGAUAAUGAUAGGAGCACCCACUUUUCAUAUUGAAUGGCUUUGUGUGACUCAAUGUUAAAUAUUUAAAAUACUAACAAAUUUAAUGUAUUUAGUUCCCUUCUUUGAAAGGGCAAGGGCUUUUAACUUCUAAAGCCAGUUUUACACUAUGUUUGCAGAUUUAGUUUUAAGAACAUUAUAGCAUAAACUAAGUAAAACAUUGCCAGAAUGUUUUUCAAUAUGGAGUAUAAUUUUUAUUCUUAUGUAUUUAUUUUUCUAUAAUGGGAACUACCCUUACAUAAUUUUAAAAGAAGAUAAAUUUUAAAACGUAAAAUGAAUGGAUUUCUGUUUUCUCUACUGUCUCCAUAAAGUACAUGUCA